rnacentral:rRNA from 1 species
GCUAAACGCGAAGAACCUUACCAAGGCUUGACAUGCAGGGAAAUCUCGUAGAGAUACGGGGUCCGCAAGGGCUCUGCACAGGUGGUGCAUGGUUGUCGUCAGCUCGUGUCGUGAGAUGUUGGGUUAAGUCCCGCAACGAGCGCAACCCUUGUCCUUAGUUGCCAUCAUUUAGUUGGGAACUCUAAGGAGACCGCCGGUGACAAACCGGAGGAAGGUGGGGAUGACGUCAAGUCAUCAUGGCCUUUAUGGCCAGGGCUACACACGUGCUACAAUGGCAGGUACAGAGGGAAGCCAACCGGCGACGGGGAGCUAAUCCCAGAAAGCCUGUCUUAGUCCGGAUUGCAGUCUGCAACUCGACUGCAUGAAGUUGGAAUCGCUAGUAAUCGCAGAUCAGCAUUGCUGCGGUGAAUACGUUCCCGGGUCUUGUACACAC